CCUCUCACCCCACGAACCCUAGCGCUCCAGAUCCGCCACCCACCUCACGCGCCCACCCACCUCACUCUCCCCGCGCCGCCGCCCCCAACCCCACUCCCUCCCUCUGGAUCUCGACGCGCCGCCGCUCCCACCCCACUCCUCCGGUGUUCCCCUCACACUCUCAUCCGCCUCCCGUCCCCUCGGCGGCGGCGCCUUCCCCAUCGUGCUCCCGAUCCAGAUCCCUCCUCUCCCCAUCUCAUAUCCUCUCCCCUCUCCCCACUCUCAGAUCCAACUGGCCCGAGACGGAGGCCGUCAUGGACAUGGUCGCCACCAUCGACCGCGAGUGGGGGUCCUGGUCCUCUCCCUUGUCAUCCUAGGCGGCGGCAUCUGCGAGCGGUUCCUGGAGUGGCCGGUCAUCGCGCUGGAGGCGCUGCUCCCGGCGCUAUCCCUCGCGGGGCUCGCGGGGUCCCUCUGCCGUGUCUUCAUCGUCUUCUCCUUCGUCGUCACCAACCGCGUCCGGACCUCCCCCAAAGCCACACUCCUCCUUCCUCGUCCCCAUCUCCUCGCCACCAGCAUCCAGUCCCAGGUCGCCAGCAUCCAGUCCAACGACUUGUAGUGACAUCAAGGCCAAAGCUGAGCGGAGAUGGAAGGAUACGACUUUGCCACCGGCGAGGCUUAGGGUCUUCGUCUCCGGACAACCUCACGCCCCCCCCCCCCCCCCCCCCCCCCCUCCCGGCGGUAAGUGAGGCGACAGUGCCUCCCUUCCUGGUGCCCCGGCCAAGUUCACCCUUUGCUCGCCGUGGCCGCCGCUAAGUAGACCCCCGGCGGCGACGACGAGGUUCGUGAAGAGGCCAAUCUGGUGUUGUGAAAGAAGGGGGCUGGCCAUGGAGAAGAUCCCACGGCGAGCUCCUCAGGACUGCUUUCAAUGGGGGGAGAAGCUUAGAGAACUUCAAUUAAAUAGAAGAACUAUCCAUGAUUUCAUUGCUGUGAAGGAAUUCAAGUUGUCGCACCUGGAGAACUUGCCCAUCAGAGGGAGCAAUGAAGACAUUGUUAAAAUAGUACCAUAUGUGCUCCUACGUGUUGAACAAUGUUAUGUAGUAGUGAGAUAAGGCAAAUUAUGUAGACAUUGUAUUCCUGUGUAAUGAAAUUUUGUAUUCCCUGUGUA